rnacentral:siRNA from 1 species
CCAAUACUUGGCCCGCCGAUCCAU